GACGAACGCUGGCGGCGUGCUUAACACAUGCAAGUCGAACGCUGAAGCUCAGCUUUUGUUGGGUGGAUGAGUGGCGAACGGGUGAGUAACACGCGAGUAACCUGCCUCCUUCUUUGGGAUAACGCCCGGAAACGGGUGCUAAUACUGGAUAUUCACUGGUCUUCGCAUGGGGGUUGGUGGAAAGGGUUUUUCUGGUGGGGGAUGGGCUCGCGGCCUAUCAGCUUGUUGGUGGGGUGAUGGCCUACCAAGGCUUUGACGGGUAGCCGGCCUGAGAGGGUGACCGGUCACAUUGAGACUGAGAUACGGCCCAGACUCCUACGGGAGGCAGAAGUGGGGAAUAUUGCACAAUGGGCGCAAGACUGAUGCAGCGACGCCGCGUGAGGGAUGGAGGCCUUCGGGUUGUGAACCUCUUUCGCUCAUGGUCAAGCCGCAACAAUGGUUGUGGUGAGGGUAGUGGGUAAAGAAGCGCCGGCUAACUACGUG
rnacentral:rRNA from 1 species